AGUGAACGCUGGCGGUAGGCCUAACACAUGCAAGUCGAACGGCAGCACAGUAAGAGCUUGCUCUUACGGGUGGCGAGUGGCGGACGGGUGAGGAAUACAUCGGAAUCUACUUUUUCGUGGGGGAUAACGUAGGGAAACUUACGCUAAUACCGCAUACGACCUACGGGUGAAAGCAGGGGAUCUUCGGACCUUGCGCGAUUGAAUGAGCCGAUGUCGGAUUAGCUAGUUGGCGGGGUAAAGGCCCACCAAGGCGACGAUCCGUAACUGGUCUGAGAGGAUGAUCAGCUACACGGGAACUGAGACACGGUCCAGACUCCUGCGGGAGGAAGCAGUGGGGAAUAUUGGACAAAGGGCGCAAGCCUGAUCCAGCCAUACCGCGUGGGUGAAGAAGGCCUUCGGGUUGUAAAGCCCUUUUGUUGGGAAAGAAGAGCAGCAGGUUAAUACCCCGCUGUUCUGACGGUACCCAAAGAAUAAGCACCGGCUAACUUCGUG
rnacentral:rRNA from 1 species